CUGAAUCAGUUGUGGGGU
rnacentral:misc_RNA from 1 species